CAUUAACAAGCUAAACCGGGCCUAGCAUUACCCUUUUAAGCUAAAAACUGGUGACUCCCAACCACCCUUAAUGA
rnacentral:tRNA from 1 species